GGGCGGUUAGCUCAGUGGUAGAGCGUCUCGUUUACACCGAGAGGGUCGGGGGUUCGAGUCCCUCACCGCCCA
rnacentral:tRNA from 1 species